AGAGAGAGACAUGCGCGCAUAUCAAUAAGCGGAGGAAAAGAAACUAACUAGGAUUCCCUCAGUAACGGCGAGUGAAGCGGGAAGAGCUCAAAUUUGAAAUCUUCAAGGUUCUACCUUGACGAAUUGUAGUUUAAAGAAGUGUUUUCUGUUGGAGUUUUGGUAAAAGUUCUUUGGAAUAGGACAUCAUAGAGGGUGAGAAUCCCGUAUUUGACCAUUACUUUCCCACUUUGUGAUACACUUUCAAAGAGUCGGAUUGUUUGGGAAUGCAGUCCAAAAUGGGUGGUAAAUUUCAUCUAAAGCUAAAUAUUGGCGAGAGACCGAUAGCGAACAAGUACCGUGAGGGAAAGAUGAAAAGAACUUUGAAAAGAGAGUUAAACAGUACGUGAAAUUGUCAAAAGGGAAGCGUUUGACACCAGUGUUGUUUUCUCGAAAAUCAAUUAAAAAAGGCAGGAUUUUGUGUUGUAUUGACUUUAUCAGCUUUCUGCACUCUUUUCUUGUCUUUUUUAAUGCACUUUUCGUUUAACAAGUCAACAUCAAUUUCUUUUGUUGUAAAAGGGUCAUUGGAAGGUGGCUUUCUUUUCGGAGAAAGUGUUUAUAGCCUUUGGCCUCUGCAAUCGGAGAGAUUGAGGUCUGCAGCGUAGAUCCUUCGGGGUUAGAUACAUUUGUGCUAAGUUAUAGCCUUUCAUAGACAACUUGUUGACUAUGAUCAGUCAUGUAGCUUACUCGCUUAUGCUAUUUUACCUACGCUUAGGAUGUUGAUGUGAUACUGCGAGC
rnacentral:rRNA from 1 species